rnacentral:rRNA from 1 species
GAUGAACGCUGGCGGCGUGCCUAAUACAUGCAAGUCGAGCGAACGGACGAGAAGCUUGCUUUUCUGAUGUUAGCGGCGGACGGGUGAGUAACACGUGGAUAACCUACCUAUAAGACUGGGAUAACUUCGGGAAACCGGAGCUAAUACCGGAUAAUAUUUUGAACCGCAUGGUUCAAAAGUGAAAGACGGUCUUGCUGUCACUUAUAGAUGGAUCCGCGCUGCAUUAGCUAGUUGGUAAGGUAACGGCUUACCAAGGCAACGAUGCAUAGCCGACCUGAGAGGGUGAUCGGCCAGCCGGGAACUGAGGCACGGUCCAGACUCCUACAGGAGGCAGCAGUAGGGAAUCGUCCGCAAUGGGCGAAAGCCUAACGGAGCAACGCCGCGUGAGUGAUGAAGGUGUUCGGAUCGGAAAACUCUGUUAUUAGGGAAGAACAUAUAUUUAAGUAACUGUGCACAUCUUGACGGUACCUAAUCAGAAAGCCACGGCUAACUACGUG